GUUCAGCUGCUGUGAGGAAGGAAAUUUCAGAUGAAACUGAUUGUGAGACAGGCCGUACUAAAGCAAUCUCAAGUGUUCCUAUUUAUCUCAGUAUAUAUUCUCCUAAUGUUGUGAACUUGACAUUGAUUGAUCUUCCUGGACUUACUAAAGUUGCUGUCUAGGGUCAACCAGAAAGCAUUGUUCAUGACAUUGAAAACAUGGUUCGCUCUUACAUUGAGAAG